AUCCAGCUGACGAGUUCCAAACAGGACGAAACGCGCGUCCGUGAU
rnacentral:hammerhead_ribozyme from 1 species